ACUACUCGUAUAUGGGACAAGGUUCAGA
rnacentral:piRNA from 1 species